rnacentral:piRNA from 1 species
UCACUAUAUAGACCAGACUGGCCUUGAAC